GCGGUGGAGCAUGUGGUUUAAUUCGAAGCAACGCGAAGAACCUUACCAGGUCUUGACAUCCCUGACAACCCGAGAGAUCGGGCGUUCCCCUUCGGGGGACAGGGUGACAGGUGGUGCAUGGUUGUCGUCAGCUCGUGUCGUGAGAUGUUGGGUUAAGUCCCGCAACGAGCGCAACCCUCGACCUUAGUUGCCAGCAUUCAGUUGGGCACUCUAAGGUGACUGCCGGCUAAAAGUCGGAGGAAGGUGGGGAUGACGUCAAAUUAUCAUGCCCCUUAUGACCUGGGCUACACACGUGCUACAAUGGGCGGUACAAGGGGUCGCGAACCCGCGAGGGGGAGCCAAUCCCAAAAAGCCGCUCUCAGUUCGGAUUGCAGGCUGCAAUUCGCCUGCAUGAAGUCGGAAUCGCUAGUAAUCGCAGGUCAGCAUACUGCGGUGAAUACGUUCCCGGGCCUU
rnacentral:rRNA from 1 species